rfam:Rattus norvegicus chromosome 8, whole genome shotgun sequence.
GGGGAUUUGGCUCACUGGUAGAGCGCUUGCCUAGCAAGCACAAAGUCCUGGGUUCGGUCCCCAGCUCCG